AUAACAUGCCCUUUGUAUUGAUUUUCUUGGUUAGAUACAUUCGGUUCAAAGAUUUGAGUUUCAGUCCUUUGAUCUGUGUUUUCCUUCGUUGCUCGGUUAAGCUCUAGGGUUUAAGCACCUCCACCGCAUAACAAAAACCACCGUCAAGAUGGCUGCCGCUGCCCGAUCGUUUUUCCGGUCAACUUCAGUCCGCAAUGCCGCUGCCAGAAUCUCCUCAGAGGCCAAAUGCAAAUCCCCUUCUCCGUUUCAAUUCUCUACGACGAAACCCCUUUCUCAUCGUGCUGUUUUCAGAAGGUGUCCGGUUAAAAUGAGCAGCGUUUGUUUGGAGACUAUGCAACCGUUUCAUACGGCUACUGCUUCUUCUUUGAUGACCUCUAUGCUCACUGCUUCGAGCAUGGGUGGUUAUGCUUGGCUUCCUCAAGGAGUUGAUGAUACUAGCUGAAGAAAUCAAGAGGCUAAACAAGGAUUAAUCGGAUUUUGUUAGGUCCACAAUAACAUCAAUUAAACUUUUUAUGAAAUAUUCUUGCAACAAUGACUUGUGAGGGAGGAUUCAAGCAAAUCAAUUCCAGAAGAAGCUUUAUUCAUCUCCAUGUUUUCAAGACCGUUUAUCUGUUUUCGUUAUGUAAUGUUCGAAUGUUAGUUUGCGCCUUUUAAAAGGUAGACAUGCAUGCGAGUAAUAAUAGGUUCUUUUUCAUGUUUUAAAAUUACAUUAGGUUUGUAUUCAUUGAUUCAAAAUA